rnacentral:rRNA from 1 species
UAGGGAAUCUUCGGCAAUGGACGAAAGUCUGACCGAGCAACGCCGCGUGUGUGAAGUAGGUUUUCGGAUCGUAAAACUCUGUUGUUAGAGCAGAACAAGGACGUUAGUAACUGCACGUCCCCUGACGGUAUCUAACCAGAACGCCACGGCUAACUACGUGCCAGCAGCCGCGGUAAUACGUAGGUGGCAAGCGUUGUCCGGAUUUAUUGGGCGUACAGCGAGCGCAGGCGGUUUCUGAAGUCUGAUGUGAAAGCCCCCGGCUCAAGCGGGGAGGAUCAGUGGAAACUGGGAGACUUGAGUGCAGAAGAGGAGAGUGGAAGUCCAUGUGUAGCGGUGAGAUGCGGAGAUAUAAGGAGGAACACGAGUGGCGAAGGCGGCUCUCUGGUCUGUAACUGACGCUGAGACUCGAAAGCGUGGGGAGCAAACAGG